CCUACGGGUGGCAGCAGUGAGGAAUCUUGGUCAAUGGCCGGAAGGCUGAACCAGCCAAGUCGCGUGAGGGAAUAAGGCCCUAUGGGUCGUAAACCUCUUUUGUCAGGGAGCAAAGGCGUCCACGUGUGGACGAGAGGAGAGUACCUGAAGAACAAGCAACGGCUAACUCCGUGCCAGCAGACGCGGUAAUGCGGAGGAUGCGAGCGUUAUACGGAUGUAGUGGGUUAAAAGGGAGCGUAGGCGGGGUGUCAAGUCAGCGGUAACAUUUCGGGGCCCAACCCCGUCGUGCCGUUGAUACUGACGCCGUUGAGUGAGUGAGAGGUAAGCGGAAUGCGUGGUGUAGCGGUGAAAUGCAUAGAUAUCACGCAGAACGCCGAUUGCGAAGGCAGCUUACCGGCGCUCAACUGACGCUGAGGCACGAAAGUGCGGGUAUCGAACAGGAUUAGAUACCCUUGUAGUC
rnacentral:rRNA from 1 species